GACGAACGCUGGCGGCGUGCCUAAUACAUGCAAGUCGAACGCAGUGGGGACGGGUGAGUAACCCGUUGGUAACCUCCCCUCAGAGGGGAUACCACUUUGAAACAGGUGCUAAACCGCUACUGAUGGAUGGACACGCUGUGAAUUAGCUAGGUGGUGCGGUAAAGGUUGACCAAGGCCACGAUGCAUAGCGGGUCUGAGAGGAGGAUCGGCCACACUGGGACUGAGACACGGCCCAGACUCCUACGGGAGGCAGCAGUGGGGAAGCUUCGACAAUGGACGAAAGUCUGAUCGAGCAAUGCAGCGUGAGUGAAGAAGGUUUUCGGAUCGUAAAACUCUGUUGUUAGAGAAGCGGUACCUACCCAGAAAGCCACGGCUAACUACGUGCCAGCAGCCGCGGUAAUUC
rnacentral:rRNA from 1 species